GUCUUAAUAGUUUAUAUAAAAUACCAACAUGUGGGGUUGGAGAGGAUAUUAUCUUAGGACA
rnacentral:tRNA from 1 species